rnacentral:rRNA from 1 species
UACGUAGGGACCAAGCGUUGUUCGGAUUUACUGGGCGUAAAGGGCGCGUAGGCGGCAAUUCAAGUCAGUUGUGAAAUCUCCGAGCUUAACUCGGAACGGUCAACUGAUACUGUUUUGCUAGAGUACAGAAAGGGCAAUCGGAAUUCUUGGUGUAGCGGUGAAAUGCGUAGAUAUCAAGAGGAACACCUGAGGCGAAGGCGGCUCUCUAGUACGGUACUGACGCUGAGACGCGAAAGCAUGGGGAGCGAACAGG